rnacentral:rRNA from 1 species
GACGAACGCUGGCGGCGUGCUUAACACAUGCAAGUCGAACGGAAAGGCCCUGCUUUUGUGGGGUGCUCGAGUGGCGAACGGGUGAGUAACACGUGAGUAACCUGCCCUUGACUUUGGGAUAACUUCAGGAAACUGGGGCUAAUACCGGAUAGGAGCUCCUGCUGCAUGGUGGGGGUUGGAAAGUUUCGGCGGUUGGGGAUGGACUCGCGGCUUAUCAGCUUGUUGGUGGGGUAGUGGCUUACCAAGGCUUUGACGGGUAGCCGGCCUGAGAGGGUGACCGGGCACAAUGGGACUGAGAUUCGGCCCAGACUCCUACGGGAGGGAGGAGUGGGGAAUAUUGCACAAUGGGCGGAAGCCUGAUGCAGCCACGGCGCGGGCGGGAUGACGGCCUUCGGGUUGGAAACCGCUUUCGCUCAUGACGAAGCUGUGUGUGACGGUAGUGGGUAAAGAAGCACCGGCUAACUACGUG